UCAUAUUUUUAAUCAUGAUCUUCUCAUCAGCUCUGCUUCUGCUGGCAGCAGCUGCAUCCUGUGGUGUUUUCUGUGUUGAGCUCACUCAACCUUCAUCUAUGGUUGUGAAACCUCAAGAAUCAUUCUCCAUCUCCUGCAGGAUUUCAGAAUCAAGCUAUUGCAUUAAUUGGAUCCGUCAACCCACUGGAAAAGCACUGGAAUGGCUUGGAUAUCUUUGUAGUGGUGGUGGCACUAACAUUAAAGACUCAGUGAAAAACAAGAUCAGUUUCACCCAGGACACGUCCAAAAACACAGUGUUUCUACAGGGGAAGAAUUUUGAGACUGAGGACUCAGCCGUGUAUUACUGUGCAAGAUACACACAGUGACUAAACAAGCCACCGCUCUGUACAAAAAAAGUUUAAACACAUUAAACAAAUGAACAUCAGCUCAACUGGUUUUAUUCAACUCAAUAUUAACAUGACUAUACCAACAAAAGUUAUUUUUGUGGUCAAGAUCAGGUAUAAAUAAUUAUUAAAGUUAACAACUA